UACGUAGGGCGCAAGCGUUAUCCGGAAUUAUUGGGCGUAAAGAGCUCGUAGGCGGUUUGUCGCGUCUGCCGUGAAAGUCCGGGGCUCAACUCCGGAUCUGCGGUGGGUACGGGCAGACUAGAGUGAUGUAGGGGAGACUGGAAUUCCUGGUGUAGCGGUGAAAUGCGCAGAUAUCAGGGGGAACACCGGUGGCGAAGGCGGGUCUCUGGGCCGAUACUGACGCUGAGGAGCGAAAGCGUGGGGAGCGAACAGG
rnacentral:rRNA from 1 species